AUUGAACGCUGGCGGCAGGCUUAACACAUGCAAGUCGAGCGGAGAUGAGGUGCUUGCACCUUAUCUUAGCGGCGGACGGGUGAGUAAUGCUUAGGAAUCUGCCUAUUAGUGGGGGACAACAUUCCGAAAGGAAUGCUAAUACCGCAUACGCCCUACGGGGGAAAGCAGGGGAUCUUCGGACCUUGCGCUAAUAGAUGAGCCUAAGUCGGAUUAGCUAGUUGGUGGGGUAAAAGCUUACCAAGCCGACGAUCUGUAGCGGGUCUGAGAGGAUGGACCGCCAGACUGGGACUGAGACACGGCCCAGACUCCUACGGUAGGCAGCAGUGGGGAAUAUUGGACAAUGGGCGGAAGCCUGAUCCAGCCAUGCCGCGUGUGUGAAGAAGGCCUUUUGGUUGUAAAGCACUUUAAGCGAGGAGGAGGCUACUUGGAUUAAUACUCUAGGAUAGUGGACGUUACUCGCAGAAUAAGCACCGGCUACCUCUGUGCCAGCAGCCGCGGUAAUAC
rnacentral:rRNA from 1 species